UUUUUCAAUCCCUUAAUCACUAAGUUAAACCUUUCACUUGUGUCAAGAGAUUUCAAUAUUUAUAUGUAUAUAUUUACAAACUAAAUUAUCGCUUGACGCCCUCGGUUAAGGGUGGGUCUGCUGUAUAAAUUUUAAUUUAAUCAGAUUUCAAUAUAGAAAUCGGUGACUAAAAAAACAAAGAUAUUAUAUGCAACGGUUUAACUGGCGUGCCUUUUUGAUGAGCUUAGCUUAUCCAGAAUUGUGAUUUUGUUCUGUGACUGUCCACUCUUCUUUCUUCUUCUCUUAUCUUUCUCAAAGAUCAAUUUUUUCUGCUCCUAAAAUUUCAAGAAUGCGAAGCCUAGUGCUCUCUUGUGAGAGCAGCAGCUUUCUGUUUAAACCCUCUUUUGCUUUAUCUAAUUUUUCCCCUGUUAAUCCCUCUCUAACUGCAAUCUCCAGGUUUUCUAGGCGGCAUUCUCUUUGCAAACAACAUGGAUGGUCUGAGGACUUCCCCAAGGUGGUCAGGACUAGGAAUUACAAAAGAUGCCACAUGACAAGGUCGGCUUAUUGUGACGAAGAAUGCAGUAUAACAAACAAAACAGCAUUGUCGAAGAGGAAAAAUCAAAGCACUUCUGUUCUUCAAGUGUUAGACAUGCCAGAGAACAAUUAUCUGAAAUCCAUUGUCCUUUCUGGGCUUUUCACUCUUUUGUUCACUCAACAAGCAAGUGCUGCUUCAGAGGUUGCUACUGGUUUGCAGUCGUUUCCUUUCUUCGGGGACCUCGGAGAUUUAAGCACAGGUUUUGCUUCAGCGUUCUUGUUGAUAUUCUUUUCUGAGCUUGGGGACAAAACCUUCUUUAUUGCUGCUCUUUUAGCAGCUAGGAAUUCAGCCGUUGUCACUUUCCUUGGGACUUUUGGCGCACUUGGGGUAAUGACAAUCAUAUCCGUUGUUCUCGGACGAACUUUCCACUAUGUCGAUGAUGUUCUUCCUUUCAGGUUAGGUGGAAAUGAUUUGCCAGUGGAUGAUAUUGCUGCCGUUUGCCUUCUGGUGUAUUUUGGAGUGUCAACCUUGCUUGAUGCCUCCUCUAGCGAUGGUAUGAAAGCGGAAGAGGAACAGAAAGAGGCCGAGCUGGCUGUUUCAGAAUUUUCGGGAAAUGGUGCUGGACUAUUGUCUGCUGCAAGCACCAUAGUUAGUACAUUCGCAUUGGUAUUUGUUGCUGAAUGGGGUGACAAAUCAUUUUUUUCUACAAUAGCUCUUGCUGCUGCAUCUUCACCUCUUGGAGUCAUUGGAGGGGCAUUAGCUGGCCACGGAGCUGCAACUUUGGUAAAUGCAGACCGUUAACUAAAACAUUUCUUUUUACAGUUGGCUGUUCUUGGAGGUUCUUUACUGGGGACAUUCUUGUCUGAGAAGGUUAUUGCCUACAUAGGUGGUGCUCUCUUCCUAGUAUUUGCAGCAGUAACAGUAAUAGAGAUAGUGAGUUAAAACAACCAUUAUUUCAUUUUUUUUGUUUUUUUCUAGCAAAAUUGUACUUUUUUCAUAUACAUUAGUAGUAAUUUAUGUUACAUAGUUGGAUUCGGAAUUUAAAAUUUAUGAGUUGGUCGAUAAUAAUUGGAUUCAUAAUUACGUUAUAGAUUCAUCUUUUGCUA